UACGUAGGGGGCAAGCGUUGUCCGGAUUUAUUGGGCGUAAAGCGUCCGCAGGUGGUUGUUCAAGUCUGCUGUUAAAGCGCGAGGCUUAACCUUGUACAGGCAGUGGAAACUGAGCGACUAGAGUAUGGUAGGGGUAGCGGGAAUUCCCAGUGUAGCGGUGAAAUGCGUAGAUAUUGGGAAGAACACCAGCGGCGAAAGCGCGCUACUGGGCCAUUACUGACACUCAUGGACGAAAGCUAGGGGAGCGAAAGGG
rnacentral:rRNA from 1 species